rfam:Oryza barthii chromosome 11, whole genome shotgun sequence.
UUUAAGUGCAAUCAUAAGUUUCUGCGCUCUCUCAAUUUUGAUCGUCCGUCUUAUCUAAAAUUUUUUUAUAAUUAGUAUUUUUUGUUGUUAUGAGAUGAUAAAACAUAAAUAAUACUUUGCUCAUUACUUAUGUUUUUAAUUUUUUUUUUAAAAAAAAAAAUUAAAUAAGACGGACGAUCAAAGUUAGACGGGGAAAAUUAUAACUACACUUGAA